AUAUCUCUCUGUACGGGAAGGAUGAGAAGCUUCGACUAAGGUUCGAUUCGAGCGAAAGCGAGAAAGCGUUGCCAACGGCAACGACCCGAAGGGCGAAGCGCGCAGCGCUGAGUAAUCCUUCCCCCACCACCA
rnacentral:sRNA from 48 species